rnacentral:rRNA from 1 species
GACGAACGCUGGCGGCGUGCUUAACACAUGCAAGUCGAACGGAAAGGCCCCUUUGGGGGUACUCGAGUGGCGAACGGGUGCGUAACACGUGCGUAACCUUCCCUUGACUUCGGGAUAACUUCAGGAAACUGGGGCUAAUACCGGAUAGGAAUCCUUGCUGCAUGGUGGGGGUUGGAAAGCUUCGGCGGUUUUGGAUGGACUCGCGGCUUAUCAGCUUGUUGGUGGGGUAGUGGCUUACCAAGGCUUUGACGGGUAGCCGGCCUGAGAGGGCGACCGGCCACAGUGGGACUGAGAGACGGCCCAGACUCCGACGGGAGGCAGCAGUGGGGAAGAUUGCACAAUGGGCGGAAGCCUGAUGCAGCAACGCCGCGGGCGGGAUGACGGCCUUCGGGUUGUAAACCGAUUUCAGCAGGGGCGAAGCUUGUGGUGACGGUACCUGCAGAAGAAGCACCGGCUAACUACGUG